UAAGUUCUGUGUCAUGAAUAGCAUAUGACAGAUAUUGUUAUCAACUUUUAAGACAUUAUUAUUUGAUUGACAUUUUUCUUGGAGAAAGUUAUACCUAUCUCAGACUUUAACCAGUUGCCUUCCUUCCUGCCUCUCCCCAUCUUCUUCCCUUCCCUCAUUUUCACUUUCUUUUCUCUUUUGCUUUCAUUUAUUAUAUCCACUAUUGUUUAUGAAACACCGUGUUAAACCUUUAAAUAGCAAAGUGUUUAAAUUUCUCAAAUGUCAGUUUUACAAAAAUGUGUGUAUGAAAAUUUACUUUGACUUGGAGAAUAAACACUCAAAGGGUAUUUUUUUUUUUAAGUAAAUCAUCUCUUUUAGGCUAGCAAGACGAUUCCUCUGUGAAACAGGCUGCGGUCAAUCCUGCACCGAUGAGGUCACCUCCAGGCUCAUAUCGAAGAGAGAUAGAACCAACUCUCAUACAUGUCUUCUGAGCAUCAUAUGAGACACACACACACACACAAGCACACACGGAGGGUGCUUCUCUGCCAUUCGGUAUGCCCCUCCUUAGAAUUGGGAACAAAACACCCAUGGAAG
rnacentral:lncRNA from 1 species